rnacentral:sRNA from 1 species
CUUCUGGCCCCAUGGGGAAGGAUGAGAAGCUUCGACUAAGGUUCGACUCGAGCGAAGCGAGAGAACGUUGCCGCAGGCAACGGCCCGAAGGGCGAGGCGCUUUAGCGCCGAGUAAUCCUUCCCCCACCACCA